rnacentral:rRNA from 1 species
GACGAACGCUGGCGGCGUGCCUAAUACAUGCAAGUCGAGCGGACGGAUGGGAGCUUGCUCCCAGACCGUCAGCGGCGGACGGGUGAGUAACACGUGGGCAACCUGCCUGUAAGACUGGGAUAACUCCGGGAAACCGGGGCUAAUACCGGAUAACUCUUUCCCUCACAUGAGGGAAAGCUGAAAGAUGGCAUCUCGCUAUCACUUACAGAUGGGCCCGCGGCGCAUUAGCUAGUUGGUGAGGUAACGGCUCACCAAGGCGACGAUGCGUAGCCGACCUGAGAGGGUGAUCGGCCACACUGGGACUGAGACACGGCCAAGACUCCUACGGGAGGCAGCAGUAGGGAAUCUUCCGCAAUGGACGAAAGUCUGACGGAGCAACGCAGCGUGAGUGAUGAAGGUGUUCGGAUCGUAAAACUCUGUUGUCAGGGAAGAACAAGUACCGGAGUAAAUGCCGGUACCUUGACGGUACCUGACCAGAAAGCCACGGCUAACUACGUG